rnacentral:rRNA from 1 species
UACAGAGGGUGCGAGCGUUAAUCGGAAUUACUGGGCGUAAAGCGCACGUAGGCGGCUUGGCAUGUCGGGUGUGAAAUCCCCGGGCUCAACCCUGGGAACUGCAUCCGAAACUGCCUUGCUAGAGUAUGGGAGAGGGAAGUGGAAUUUCCGGUGUAGCGGUGAAAUGCGUAGAUAUCGGAAGGAACAUCAGUGGCGAAGGCGACUUCCUGGACCAAUACUGACGCUCAGGUGCGAAAGCGUGGGGAGCAAACAGG